CAUUCAGCAAAUUGCAAGAGAAAUUCAGCCCCUCCCAAAAUCUGACAGUAACUAAAAAUGGGUAAAGAAAUAAGAGCCUAAUCUAGUCCCGCUAAUCUUGUAGUUUCAAUAAAAGUUCUACAUGUGAAGUGCUGGCAGGGUCCAGUGUUUGUUAGCAGGGAUGAAAGUCAUUUCACACUCCAGUAACAGUUUGAUUUUUAUAAGUCUGUCUAUCCUGAGGUAGCUUGUAUAACUUUAUCCCAGCUGCAUAGUUGGUCCAAUAAAAGAUAUCGCUCUAAGAAAUCCUAUCCUGCAAAAGGCAGCAAUGUUAUGGAACGGAUGGACCAGAAAACAAGAAUGGUAUUUGUAUCCGUCUAAAAGUGGUCCUUGUUAUGGAGACUGAAUACCUCAAAAGGUACUGGGAGAUGAGAAUUUCCAGUUCGAGAACCAAUCCUGUAUUUCUUGUUCCAGUAAAACUGCCAUUGCCCAAGUAAUCACUUGCACCUUCAGCCUCUAUGCAGACUGAUCCAGAAGAUACUGUAAUGCCAUCAGCACCAGGAUGCUUUGCUAGGAGUCCAGAGGCUGUUCUAGUCCUGUCACAUCCUUCACCUGCUGAAGUAACUCAAGAAAGCCAAGCCAGCCUGCUGCCCUCCAAUCCCUGAAUCAGGUUGUGUGAGGCGAGUCGUUGUCCAGCUGAAGUACUUAAAGGACUAUAUUAUUGGGUGGAAAGAGAGGAAGCAGUGGGAUG